rnacentral:lncRNA from 1 species
CGGCCCCGGCUCUCCGGUGAGCUCCCCAAACAGACGCACACCCAGCCACACGCGCGCGCGCGCGCGCGCGCACACACACACACACACACACACAUACACACACACACACGCACGCACCCCCGCGCGCACACGCCCGCCCGCUCUGCCUCUGCGCCCUCCAUCCCGGCUCGCUCAUUCUCUCGCCCUCUCGCUUCCCCUGCGGUCUCUCGCUCUGCGCGCACACACCACACACACGCACACGCACACACACGCGCGCACACACGCAGCCGGCACAGGCAGCAGCGGCGGCGGCGGCGGCGGCUGCUCAAGUCAGGACGAACCUCUCUAGAGCAUGGCGGGCUGCGGGCUGUCGGAAGAUACCUUCUUCUCUUCCUUCUUUUACAACUACGGCUCCUCCUGGGAAACCCCUUCCAACCAGCGGGAACCGGAAAGAGAGGCAGGAGCCGGCACGUUACCCCGAACAACUCCAGGCAAAACCAGGGAACUCGAGCGCAACCUUCCCCCAAGUCGCCGCGGGCGCCGCGCCCCUGUGCGCCCGGCGCCUGCCCGCCCUCCAGUUGCGCCGAGGGGCUGCAGAGCUGUGAGUCCCCCCGCGACGUGCUGUUCCCCCUCCACUUCCCCCGGGGCCCCGAGCCACCUCUUUCCCUAAAAUGGCUGCAAUCUCAAGUGGAGGCGUCCCCUGACCCCGAGGAGGGGGUGCAGAGUGGAUGCUCCGGUGCCCAUGACCCCACGCCUCCCCCGGCGCGCACAAGCACCCCACAAACACACACACUUAACUUUGAUGACUGUGCAAUGCAGUCCGGCUGCAUCGUGCCCUCGACGCUCCCCGCUGCCGGCCUGCAGGUGUGCUUGUCGGUGUGACUUGGGGGGCGCGGAGAAGCUGGGGGUAGACGCCGGAAGGGGGGCGUGGAAGAUGGGUGUUAGCGGGCCACGGGUAACCUGGAGAGACAGGCGUGUGCUCAGGGUCUAGGGGUGCAAAAGCUAUUCUGGGAGCCAGAGCGAGAAAGAGAAAGGGGAAAAAAAUGCCUUUUAAUUAAAUAACUGUUGUAGUCUGCUGCCCCCACCGCUUGUUUGGUGAAAGUCUACAGGCAUCUGUCAUUUCCAAACUACACGGGGAAGUGGAGCUGGAGUCGAGGGAGGGGAGAGGGGGUGUGUGUGUUGUGUAUGUCUGUCUGUCUGUCUGUGUGUACGCGCACGAGUCCAGGCUGGGGAAAGUUAGGGCGGGAGGCGAGGUGGAGGAGCAACGGUGAAAGGCAGCAGCAACUCGGUGGGCGGUCCGGGGUGUGGGGGAUUCCCGGGCCCGCAGAGCGAGAGCUGCCGGGGGAGCGGGCCGGAGGGGCGGGGGCGUCGAGGAAAAGAACUCGUUCUGCCCGUCUCUCCCGGCCACUGGGGCGUCUCUUCUUACCAGCUCGCUCGCCAGCCACGGCGGCUAGCCCGGCUGCCCGCCGCACUCGCCGGCUCUGGCGCGCUCCUUCUUGGGCCCGGGGGACAGCGCGCUCCUGCGAGCUCCGGGCAAAAAAAAAAAAAAAAAAAGCCAACCCCGCAAAGCAAAACAACUGAAAAAUGAGCUCCGCCGCCCCCGCAGCACCCCCAGUUUCCAAAAAGCUGAAAUCGCCGAAUUCGUAGUCUCCGGGCGAAGACCUCGCGUCUCUGGCAUGGGCUUUCCAGAAAGCGCCGUGGCCAUCGAGUGAAUAAUACAUAAGAGGGGCCCGGGAGCCUCACAGAGGCUCCUGUCGCCGCGGCAGCAGCAGCGGGAGACGGCGGCGAGCUCUGGCCAGACUGCCGGGCCGCCGCCGCGGGUGGGGGCAUAUGGGCAGCUCCAGGGAAGCGCGCGGGUCCCUGACCGGGCGCGGAGCUAAGG